AGCAACAGCUAGCUUAUCCACCCAGUAACUAAACAAUAUAAAUAAACAAAGUAAGCCCAACACCAAAAACUAAACCAUUCUUUUACCUGAGUAUGGGAGACAGAAAAGGUCCCACAAAGCAAUAGAAACAGUACCGCAAGGGAAAGCUGAAAGAGAAAUGAAACAACCUAUAUAAGCACAAAAAAGCAAAGAUUAAAUCUUGUACCUUUUGCAUCAUGAUUUAGCCAGUACACCCAAGCAAAGAGACCUUUAGUUUGAAACCCCGAAACCAGGUGAGCUACCCCGAGACAGCCUAUUAAGGGCCAACCCGUCUCUGUGGCAAAAGAGUGGGAAGAGCUCCGGGUAGAAGUGACAGACCUACCGAACCUGGUGAUAGCUGGUUGCCUAAGAGAUGAAUAGAAGUUCAGCCUCGUACUCCCCAAAUCAAAGCACAAACAAGACAUUAAGAGAAACACACGAGAGUUAGUUAAAGGGGGUACAGCCCCUUUAACAAAGGACACAACCUUUCCAGGAGGAUAAAGAUCAUAAUACACAAAACACACCGUUCUAGUGGGCCUAAAAGCAGCCACCUAAACAGAAAGCGUUAAAGCUCAGACAGAAAAAAGUUUAUUAUCCUGACAAAAAAUCUUACUCCCCUAACUACUAUUAGGCCAACCCAUGCCCACAUGGAAGAGACUAUGCUAAAAUGAGUAACAAGAAGACCUGCUCUUCUCCUAGCACAAGUGUAAGCCAAACCGGACCAACCAUUGGCAACUAACGAACUCAACCCCAGAGAGCAAUGUGGGCUAAAAAAAGACCAAGAAAAAUCCACAAACCAACUAUCGUUACCCCCACACUGGAGUGCCAUUAAAGGAAAGACUAAAAGAAAAGGAAGGAACUCGGCAAACACAAGCCUCGCCUGUUUACCAAAAACAUCGCCUCCUGCAACACAGCCAAGUAUAGGAGGUCCAGCCUGCCCAGUGACCACAAGUUUAACGGCCGCGGUAUCCUGACCGUGCAAAGGUAGCGCAAUCACUUGUCUUUUAAAUAGAGACCUGUAUGAAUGGCCAAACGAGGGCUUAACUGUCUCCCUUUUCAAGUCAGUGAAAUUGAUCUACCCGUGCAGAAGCGGG
rnacentral:rRNA from 1 species